UGAAAACCUGAGGCUCNACCUCAGGCCCGCAUUCGAUACGGGCAAACUAGAGUUNGGUAGGGGAGACUGGAAUUCNUGGUGUAGCGGUGNAAUGCGCAGAUAUCAGGAGGAACACCAAUGGCGAAGGCAGGUCUCUGGGCCAACACUGACACUGAGGAGCGAAAGUNUGGGGAGCGAACAGGAUUAGAUACCCUGGUAGUCCAGACCGUAAACGGUGGGCACUAGUUGUGGGAACCUUCCACGGUUUCUGCGACGCAGCUAACGCAUUAAGUGCCCCGCCUGGGGAGUACGAUCGCAAGAUUAAAACUCAAAGGAAUUGACGGGGCCCCGCACAAGCAGCGGAGCAUGCGGCUUAAUUCGACGCAACGCGAAGAACCUUACCAAGGCUUGACAUAUAGGGAAAAGUGGCAGAGAUGUCAUGUCCGCAAGGGCUCUAUACAGGUGGUGCAUGGUUGUCGUCAGCUCGUGUCGUGAGAUGUUGGGUUAAGUCCCGCAACGAGCGCAACCCUCGUUCUGUGUUGCCAGCAUUUAGUUGGGGACUCACAGGAGACUGCCGGGGUUAACUCGGAGGAAGGUGGGGAUGACGUCAAAUCAUCAUGCCCCUUAUGUCUUGGGCUGCACGCAUGCUACAAUGGCCGGUACAGAGGGCUGCAAUACCGCAAGGUGGAGCGAAUCCCAAAAAGCCGGUCUCAGUUCGGAUUGAGGUCUGCAACUCGACCUCAUGAAGUUGGAGUUGCUAGUAAUCGUAGAUCAGCAUCGCUACGGUGAAUACGUUCCCGGGGCUUGUACACACCGCCCGUCACGUCACGAAAGUCGGUAACACCCAAGGUCAGUGGCCCAACCGCAAGGGGGGAGCUGCCUAAGGUGGGAUCGGUGAUUGGGACGAAGUC
rnacentral:rRNA from 1 species